ensembl:misc_RNA
UUGACAUUCCGACAGAUUGAAGUCCUUCAUUUACCCACAGCAUAGGUACAGCAUGGAUCAGUUUUACCUGUCAAAAUAUAGUUCAAUGUCCAUGCUCUACCCAGCCCUGGGCCUCUCUGAGGGCAGUAGUUGUUUCAGAUCAGUGAUUCUCAAUCUUUUUCAUAU